rnacentral:rRNA from 1 species
UACGUAGGGGGCAAGCGUUAUCCGGAUUUACUGGGUGUAAAGGGAGCGUAGACGGAUUAGCAAGUCUGAUGUGAAAGGCAGGGGCUCAACCCCUGGACUGCAUUGGAAACUGCCAGUCUUGAGUGUCGGAGAGGUAAGCGGAAUUCCUAGUGUAGCGGUGAAAUGCGUAGAUAUUAGGAGGAACACCAGUGGCGAAGGCGGCUUACUGGACGGCAACUGACGUUGAGGCUCGAAAGCGUGGGGAGCAAACAGG